GUAACGGUGUCAUUAGACACCACCCUUUUUAUCUUCAAAACUUAUU
rfam:Picea glauca, whole genome shotgun sequence.